rnacentral:rRNA from 1 species
UACAGAGGGUGCAAGCGUUAAUCGGAAUUACUGGGCGUAAAGGGCGCGUAGGCGGCCAGCACAAGUCAGUUGUGAAAUCUCCGAGCUUAACUCGGAAAGGUCAACUGAUACUGUGCGGCUAGAGUGAUGUAGGGGAGACUGGAAUUCCUGGUGUAGCGGUGAAAUGCGCAGAUAUCAGGAGGAACACCGAUGGCGAAGGCAGGUCUCUGGGCAUUAACUGACGCUGAGGAGCGAAAGCAUGGGGAGCGAACAGG